GACGAACCGUGCGAACGUUGUUCGGAAUCACUGGGCUUAAAGGGCGCGUAGGCGGCUUGCCAAGUCGGGGGUGAAAAUACUUCAGCUUAACUGGAGAAGUGCCUUCGAUACUGGCAGGCUUGAGGGAGGUAGGGGUCUGCGGAACUUCUGGUGGAGCGGUGAAAUGCGUUGAUAUCAGAAGGAACGCCGGUGGCGAAAGCGGCGGACUGGACCUCUUCUGACGCUGAGGCGCGAAAGCUAGGGGAGCAAACAGG
rnacentral:rRNA from 1 species